rnacentral:misc_RNA from 1 species
UGAACAUGCGGUGGGAUCUAGGAAGGAAAACUUCCCCAGCUAUAAACCUUGAUCAAACAAAGCAGCGAAAACCUCCAUUUCUUGCCUCAACAAGACCACCGCAACCUCAACUCCUCCACUGCCAUCCCUACCGUCCAUCAAAGCAAUAGCGUUGGUUCCUUCCGUCGAUGCUAUCUCCACUUUCUCGGGUCGUCCCCAACCCAAGUCCAACCCAUAACACGCAAACCGGGAAGAUCCAGCUAAUCCAAAUUUCUGCAUUUCUGGUGCUAAGGCUCUUAUCCUUGCUAGCGUGUCUUUAGCUCCUUCAAGAAGUCCCUUUCCAGUCCUUUUAUCAAUUCACUAAGCUUCUCUGCUAUGAUAGCAACUCCAUUUUCGUCCAUAAAAGCUGCUGCCUCUAUAACUAUGUCAUGGAUGCAUAAACAGUUCCCGAAAUAAUUUACUGGAAUUUGAGGUUCUAAGCGACUCCUGCAAUCCACUGGAAACGAAACGUAGACCUUUCUGUUACCAUCUCCUCCUCUAGCUUUCACAAGGCAGACCAACACAUAAGCAUAUGUAAGCACAAAGGCAGAGAGAUGAAGAUAUUUCACUGGGUCGUCUCCUUGAGCCCGAUGCUGGUGGCAAAGCACUACACUUUCCCUGAGUUUCUUGAUUGAUUCCGGGCUCAACUGAAACGCAGCUCGAACUAAGUUAGGUCGCACUCCUCGAAGAUUCGGCAGCAUUUUCAAGCUUACUCGGAAUCUACUCUCGUCUUCUCUAUCCAGUGUUUCAGGUAAAUUUGAUCGAUCCCUUCUGGGUCUUUGAUUACAGUACGAUCAAAAGAUGGUGUUAGUUCUGGCAAAAAAGUGAAUGGUUUUCCUUCCUUGCUGUGUCUGCAUGUAAGAGCCCAUGCUUUGAAGAACAUGGACAUGGUGUUUCCAUCAACAACUGCGUGGUGUGCAGCGAUGCCAAUGCAAAAUCCUUUGCCCGGAAAUAGUGUUAUUUGCAGGCCUAUUAUCGACGCCAUCGUAUCUGAUAUCGUCAACUCGGGUAUAUAAGGACUUGACUCACCAGCUUCACGGAUACCAUUGCCUGUAAAGCGAUCAAAGCCGUUGGCCCAGACUCCGCAACUGUGAAAGAAAUGGAAUUAUUUGGGGCGUAAAAGAGGCAUGAGAAGGCCACGUGAGGUGGCCUGCGAGUGGUGGAAAACGAAAGAGGGUCUGAGUCAGAGAACGUUUGAGUCUGGGAAGAAUUACUGAGUGACAAAAAGUUGGAGUCGACUCAGUGACUCUAUUGAAGAAGAGGCACUCUAGCGGGGGUAAUCUAAACCAAAAAGUGUCAAAAAAGGUCAGGGGAAGAGAGUUUUCUACACUCGGCUGAGUCGGAGGAGGGAAUUUUCACCGAGUUGGGUGAUGCCAUCGGAAAUUGUUUGAUGUUAUUUGUUAUUGUAUGUGUUCUUUGGCAAAAGCCUUAAUUUAGAGGAUUUUGUGAGUAUUAGUUGAUGAUUGCUUAAUC